AUCCAGCCGAAGUGUUCCAAAUAGGACGAAACGCGCGUCCUGAAU
rnacentral:hammerhead_ribozyme from 1 species